GGGGUGGGUAACAUGGGGGAAAGAAGAGAAAGGCUGGAGGCAGUGGGGCCAUGGGCAGGGACAUCAGGAUUCCUGGCAAUAGCCCGGGACCCACAGCACGGGGAGGGGAGAUGUGCCGGCUGAGGGCCGGGGGGUCCCCAAGAUGUCCGGGGGGAUUGGCGGGAACUAGGGGAGGACGGGGUCUGGGGUCCUGUGUCCACCACACUGGGCACCUGGAAGUAGGAAGUGUGGACGGGGCUACGGCACAGAAGGACUCAGCGUCCUCCUCCGUAAAUUGGGCUGCGUAGACAGUGUCCCCAGGGUCCCACAGGCUCAUAGACGAGUCUGUGUCCCGGGAUCUUCAUCCCUGACCCUCUGUUCUCCCCCUCCUGGGAAAAUGCUUCCUACUCCCUCAAGGUCCUUCUGAGCAGAGGGCAGCCCGGGGGCUUGGAGGACCGAGGUCCUGGGUUUGCAGCACGUGGCCGAGCAGUGGACCCUGGUGUGGGGACCGAGGUCAAGACCCUCCUUGUUGGCGCCUCGGGUCCUCAUUAGGAAGUGGUUCCCCAGGCAGUGCCCUGCCUGGGGUGAGGAGGCCUCGUGAGGGAGCUGAGCACCGGGCCGGGGGAGGGACACGGGCCACAAGGGAGGCUUCUGAGGGUCGUCACCUGGACCCUGGAGCCCACAGGCCCUGCUCCUGUGAGACACACAGAGACAGACCGAGUCCGAGGCAGACACAGAGAAUGGACCCCGGAGAGAGGAAACCAGAAAUUCCAUGAAUCGGCCUGGAAGUGACAGCCCGUCAUCAUCUUCUAGCCCUUAGAACGCGGUCACACGGGCCGUCCACCCGGAAGGGGAGGGGGUGACACAGGGAUGUGUGACCAGGAUUCGGGAAGGCUGGGAGCCACAGCCCAGGCGCUGGGACCCGGGCCCAAAUGUGAUGGAGCCCCUGGAGGGGCGUGUCGGGUGGGCACAGGGUCUGAACGAGCUCACCUCCACCUUCCCCCGGGCCCGGGACCCAGGCAGGAGGGGUGGCUGCGCCUGGACCGGAGCAGACCCAGGCCCGCGUGAGUGUGUUCCGUGCCAGGCCCACCCCUUCCUCAUCUUUCCACGGCCACGUGUGCCCACGAGCCUCAUGGGAUAGCAGGCACGGGACGAGUCUGCAGGUGUCUCCCUGAUGGUGUCCCUAGAAGUGGAUUCCAGAAGGACCCCACUGUGCAGACGGGGAGACCGGGGGGCCCCGGGAGGCACAGGGUCUGUGCGGGGUCCCGGCACUGGUCAGGAGGAAAACCCGGGUCUGAACCCAGCUCUGUGUCCCCAGAGCUGCCACACCGGCUGCACCAGGCCUCGCGGGGAUGUGGCUGGGCUGUGUUGGUGUCACUGUAGGGACAGGGCAUGGGGUGGAGGGGAGCCCUCCGCAGCCUGGGAGGGGCUCUUGUAGGAGGAGGAAGAUGGGUAAGGGGACCCACCUCUCUGGUCACAAAGCCCAGUGACCUGGCAGUGACCUCACCUCUCUGGUCACAAAGCCCAAGUGAAGUCAGAACCCGGGUCACCAGGCACCCACAUUGUGGAGACAGCGCCCGACUGGGCUCAUUCGUUGGGACACCUUCGUCUGACGAACAUGUUCUCCUGUUGUGUGCCCGUGUCCCGCGGCUGCUGGCUCAGGGGAGCCCGUGGCUGCGACGCUCCCCGACCCUGGAGACAGUGGGUCAGGUCGUGCACAGGACGCCUCAGGUCUCUAGCUCGCAGGGAGCCAAAGAAAUCAACGGAUGAAAUCGGGAGGCGACUGUCGGAAUCCCGAUUCACCUGCCCUACAGUGGUGUGCGUGUGCCCCGUCGCCCAGGAGGGCCACCCUGGACCCGGGGAGAGAGUGGCCGCACGGAGGUCUCCGGAAGCAGGGCCUGGAGAUGGCCUGGGAGGGCCUCCCUCACCGCCCGGGCCCCUCCACAGGGUCCUGGCUCAGCGGUCCUGGUCCCAGGACCCGGAGCCCCCGGAUCCUGAGCCCGAGGAGUCCGGGGCAGGAGCGGAAGCCGGUGCGGCUCCAGAGCCCGACCCAAGGGCCUCGGGGUCCUCGUAGUCUCUGCAGUCAGGGGUGGCGUCUGGAGCGACUCCUGCAGGGGCCCGGCAGCCAGCAGGUGACCUGGGACCUGUGCGGGGACAGCGGGCACCUGGGCAGAGUCAGCUGGGUCCUGCUUC